CAACCACACACACAUAUACUCUCUGUCUCACACAUACACACAAUACUCACAUACACUCAAACACACAUAUAAUAGGCUCACACAUUCAAAAGCACAUGCUCACACACACUCAUACAUACAUUUACACAACUCAUAUACUCACACACAUAUACAUGCUCACACACUCAAACACACACACACGCAUGCACGCACACACACACGCACAUACACACCUUCAUACACACUCUCUCACACAGACGCAUGCUCACACACUCAGACAUACGUAUGCACACACACAUUCUCACACAGUCACACACCCCCCUCCACUCACAUACAUUCACAUGGUCUACACAAGCAGGGAAAAUUAUGACAGGUGAGAUUCGGCCACAUUUUACAGAUAGGAUUAAGCUCUAGUACUUAUAUCAAAGGCGACAUCAAAAGCAGAAGUGACAGCUGGCUCAGUUCCAGAUCCUCUAAGUCCCUCCAGCACUCCCUAUUCUCCAGGGACACCUUACUAGGUCACAGAAGCAGUGGCAGAGGGAGUUCUCAGAGUGCAGGCUGUUUCUCUGUGUCCUUUAGCUGAGCUAUUUUGGGACUAUUCAGUACAUGUACAGUGCUGCCUCUCGGAGUGUUGCGGCCGGACUGAGAGCAUUCACUACUGGCUGAAGCUUUGCUGUUCCUCUGUGGCAGAUUUCAUGGGAUCCUUGGCCCGGAAACCAGAUGGGAACAAACUAUUCAAAAAAAAAAAUCCAA
rnacentral:lncRNA from 1 species